UGGUUUGUUGUGCGCAUUAGAAAGGAUUGACAGUGUUCUUUUUGAAAGGGUUUUGGUCACGCGGGGGUGACAAGUUGAUUUGAUGUGUUUGGAUCUCGGUGGAGGCUCUAGCACUGGUUUGUUGUGCGCAUUAGAAAGGAUUGACAGUGUUCUUUUUGAAAGGGUUUUGGUCACGCGGGGGUGACAAGUUGAUUUGAUGUGUUUGGG
rnacentral:lncRNA from 1 species